rnacentral:rRNA from 1 species
GCCUUGUACACUCCGCCCGUCACACCAUGGGAGUGGGUUGCUCCAGAAGUAGCUAGUCUAACCGCAAGGGGGACGGUUACCACGGAGUGAUUCAUGACUGGGGUGAAGUCGUAACAAGGUAGCCGUAGGGGAACCUGCGGCUGGAUCACCUCCUUA